UACGUAGGGGGCAAGCGUUGUCCGGAUUUACUGGGCGUAAAGAGCGCGUAGGCGGAGAUCUAAGCGUGGCCUGAAAGCCCCCGGCUCAACCGGGGAGUGCGGCUGCGAACUGGGUUUCUUGAGGACGAUAGAGGAGAGUGGAAUUCCUGGUGUAGCGGUGAGAUGCGUAGAUAUCAGGAGGAACACCCGAGGCGAAGGCGGCUCUCUGGGUCGUACCUGACGCUGAGGCGCGAAAGCGUGGGGAGCAAACAGG
rnacentral:rRNA from 1 species